GCCCCCUUCGGGGGGCAAGUAGAGUGGCGCACGGGUGAGUAACACGUAGGUAAUCUACCUUUGGAUGGGGAAUAACAACCGGAAACGGUUGCUAAUACCGCAUAAUGCAGCGGCACCUAAUGGUGACAGUUGUUAAAGCGGGGGAUCGCAAGACCUCGCGUCUGAAGAGGAGCCUGCGGCAGAUUAGCUAGUUGGUAAGGUAAAGGCUUACCAAGGCGAUGAUCUGUAGCCGGCCUGAGAGGGCGGUCGGCCACACUGACACUGACAUACGGGUCAGACUCCUACGGGAGGCAGCAGUCGGGAAUUUUGGGCAAUGGGCGAAAGCCUGACCCAGCAACGCCGCGUGAAGGAUGAAAUCCCUCGGGAUGUAAACUUCGCAAGAACGGGAAGAAUAAGUAAGAGCUAACAUCUCUUAUGAUGACGGUACUGUUUGUAAGCUCCGGCUAACUCCGUGCCAGCAGCCGCGGUAAUACGGGGGGAGCAAGCGUUGUUCGGAUUUACUGGGCGUAAAGGGCGCGUAGGCGGCCACCGCAAGUCGACUGUGAAAUCUCCGGGCUUAACUCGGAAAGGUCAGCCGAUACUGCGGGGCUAGAGUGCAGAAGGGGCAACUGGAAUUCUCGGUGUAGCGGUGAAAUGCGUAGAUAUCGAGAGGAACACCUGCGGCGAAGGCGGGUUGCUGGGCUGACACUGACGCUGAGGCGCGAAAGCUAGGGGAGCGAACGGGAUUAGAUACCCCGGUAGUCCUAGCCUUAAACGAUGAAUGCUUGGUGUCUGGGGUUUUAUAG
rnacentral:rRNA from 1 species